CAGCCCCACGAGUGGUGGGGAUGAUUAUUUGGCCUAAAGCGUCCGUAGCCGGCCGAGUAAGUCCCCCGUUAAAUCCAGCGUCUCAAGCGUUGGACUGCGGGAGAUACUACUUGGCUAGAGAGUGGGAGAGGUCAGCGGUAUUCUGGGGGUAGGGGCGAAAUCCUUUGAUCCCCGGAGGACCACCAGUGGCGAAGGCUGCUGACUAGAACACGUCUGACGGUCAGGGACGAAAGCUGGGGUAGCAAACCGGAUAAGAUACCCGAGUAGUCC
rnacentral:rRNA from 1 species